GUGCCUUGUUCCCCUGCUCUCUGUUCCUCUCUGUUGCGAGCAAGCUGAAAGAUUGGUCUGAUUUGUUUUGAUCUCUGCUGCCAGGGGCCUUAGGGCAAUGUCAGCGAUCUACAACGUGGCGACAUGGCUCAGUCGCGUUGCAGCCGAAGCUGACCUGCCGGAGUUCCUCUGAGGCAAGGCUGGACACUGCAAUCAGGUAUUUAGAGCCUCCUCUUAAGAGGAACAGGAUUUGCAUGAAGGGCAUAGCUUCUGCAUUCACAUCAGAAGAGAAGAGAGUUUAUUGCGAUCCCUACUGGGGAAACAGGGUAGGCAAUCAGCUGCUGGAGUUGCCAUUAUGAACAAGACCUGAUUAGGGCAGGGAGAUGAUUUUUAAUUUUGGAUCAUGUAUUAAUCAUGUUCUGUGAU
rnacentral:lncRNA from 1 species